rnacentral:rRNA from 1 species
ACGCCAACAGUUGCCAGGCCUCGGUCCUCCCGGGGGAUGGUGGGGACACUGUUGGGACCGCCUCUGCUAAAGAGGAGGAAGGAAUGGGGCAACGGUAGGUCAGCAUGCCCCGAAUUAUCUGGGCUACACGCGGGCUACAAUGGGUGGGACAAUGGGUAUCGACACCGAAAGGUGAAGGCAAUCUCCUAAACCCAUCCGUAGUUCGGAUUGUGGGCUGCAACUCGCCCACAUGAAGCUGGAAUCUGUAGUAAUCGUGUCUCAAAUGGCACGGUGAAUAUGUCCCUGCUCCUU